GCGGGGGUUGCCGAGCCAGGUUAAAGGCGCCAGAUUCAGGGUCUGGUCUCGAAGGAGUUCGGGGGUUCAAAUCCCCUCCCCCGCA
rnacentral:tRNA from 1 species